AGUGGAAGCAGUGCACGUAGAAUUGCCUGCUUAUUUGAGUCAUAUGAAAAAAAGUAGAGUUGCCAGGGGCACCAUAAAAUAUUUCACGGGUUACAUGGAUACACUUCCCAAGACAAUGAUGUCAUUGAAGCCUCGGAAUAUGCAGGUUGCCAAUUGGUGCGCCCUGGUGAUUAUAUAACUUAUGUAACAAAUGAAAUUUUAAGUUAUAUCUUCUAUUUAUUGCCAAGAAUUUGUCAUGUAAAUAAUAUUUCUAUGUGUAUAUAUAAUGCAAUUUUACCAAAGGUGUCUCUCGCACCAUUAAACUGUCCCCAACACGAUACUGUCUCUGUGACUUAUGUAAAAUUACUGAUAAGGGUUAUUAUUCAUUUUUGGUGCAAGCAAAUAAAUCGUAUUGCAAAAGGGAAAGAUGCAAAAUUCAUAACCUUAUACAAUGCUAAUCGCAAUGUUUUGGA